UCUCCCUUCCUCCUCUCUGGCCUGUAGCCCAUUGCUAUUUUUUUUCCCCUCUGCCUCUCUUUCUGUGGCUCCCUUUGCAUAUUUUUCAAUCCCCCCACCUCUGCCUUGCAGCCGAUCGCUGUUGUAUUGGGUUUAUGUGGCAAGGUUUUGCUAGCAGGCCCCAGGGCGGGGCAGAGGCUGCAGGCGUGGUUUCUGGGAGAAGGUGCCAGG